CCUCCCCCACCCGAGCUCAGGAAGGGGAGAGGCGGAGCGGAGGCAGGGCGGGGUACCCGCGCACCGGACGGGACGCCGGGGGAAGGAAUCCUGCCGGCCUUCGGAGUCUGGCCUCCAGAAGGGCCCUGCCUUUGCACUUGCAACAACCUGACUCAGGAGUCCCCAUGAUUCUGCCAGAUGAAUAGAAUGGUGUCUCCUCCAGGUU